GAUGAACGCUGGCGGCGUGCCUAAUACAUGCAAGUCAAGCGGACGGACAAGAGGCUGGUUUCUUAUAAUUUAAGCCGGCGAAGGGGUAAAUAACACGUGGAUAACCUACCUAUAAGACUGGGAUAACUUCGGGAAACCGGAGCUAAUACCGGAUAAUAUUUUGAACCGCAUGGUUCAAAAGUGAAAGACGGUCUUGCUGUCACUUAUAGAUGGAUCCGCGCUGCAUUAGCUAGUUGGUAAGGUAACGGCUUACCAAGGCAACGAUGCAUAGCCGACCUGAGAGGGUGAUCGGCCACACUGGAACUGAGACACGGUCCAGACUCCUACGGGAGGCAGCAGUAGGGAAUCUUCCGCAAUGGGCGAAAGCCUGACGGAGCAACGCCGCGUGAGUGAUGAAGGUCUUCGGAUCGUAAAACUCUGUUAUUAGGGAAGAACAUAUGUGUAAGUAACUGUGCACAUCUUGACGGUACCUAAUCAGAAAGCCACGGCUAACUACGUGCCAGCAGCCGCGGUAAUACGUAAGUGGCAAGCAUUAUCCGGAAUUAUUGGGCGUAAAGCGCGCGUAGGCGGUUUUUUAGUCUGAUGUGAAAGCCCACGGCUCAACCGUGGAGGGUCAUUGGAAACUGGAAAACUUGAGUGCAGAAGAGGAAAGUGGAAUUCCAUGUGUAGCGGUGAAAUGCGCAGAGAUGUGGAGGAACACCAGUGGCGAAGGCGACUUUCUGGUCUGUAACUGACGCUGAUGUGCGAAAGCGUGGGGAUCAAACAGGAUUAGAUACCCUGGUAGUCCACGCCGUAAACGAUGAGUGCUAAGUGUUAGGGGGUUUCCGCCCCUUAGUGCUGCAGCUAACGCAUUAAGCACUCCGCCUGGGGAGUACGACCGCAAGGUUGAAACUCAAAGGAAUUGACGGGGGCCCGCACAAGCGGUGGAGCAUGUGGUUUAAUUCGAAGCAACGCGAAGAACCUUACCAAAUCUUGACAUCCUUUGACAACUCUAGAGAUAGAGCCUCCCCCUUCGGGGGACAAAGUGACAGGUGGUGCAUGGUUGUCGUCAGCUCGUGUCGUGAGAUGUUGGGUUAAGUCCCGCAACGAGCGCAACCCUUAAGCUUAGUUGCCAUCAUUAAGUUGGGCACUCUAAGUUGACUGCCGGUGACAAACCGGAGGAAGGUGGGGAUGACGUCAAAUCAUCAUGCCCCUUAUGAUUUGGGCUACACGCGUGCUACAAUGGACAAUACAAAGGGCAGCGAAACCGCGAGGUCAAGCAAAUCCCAUAAAGUUGUUCUCAGUUCGGAUUGUAGUCUGCAACUCGACUACAUGAAGCUGGAAUCGCUAGUAAUCGUAGAUCAGCAUGCUACGGUGAAUACGUUCCCGGGUCU
rnacentral:rRNA from 1 species